UCAACGGAUAAAAGGUACCCCGGGGAUAACAGGCUGAUCUUCCCCAAGAGUCCAUAUCGACGGGAUGGUUUGGCACCUCGAUGUCGGCUCGUCGCAUCCUGGGGCUGGAGUCGGUCCCAAGGGUUGGGCUGUUCGCCCAUUAAAGCGGUACGCGAGCUGGGUUUAGAACGUCGUGAGACAGUUCGGUCCCUAUCCGCUGUGCGCGUAGGAGUCUUGAGAAGGGCUGUCCCUAGUACGAGAGGACCGGGACGGACGAACCUCUGGUGUGCCAGUUGUUCUGCCAAGGGCAUGGCUGGUUGGCUACGUUCGGGAGGGAUAACCGCUGAAAGCAUCUAAGCGGGAAGCCUGCUUCGAGAUGAGGACUCCCACCUCCUAGAGAGGGUAAGGCUCCCAGUAGACGACUGGGUUGAUAGGCCGGAUAUGGAAGCACGGUAACGUGUGGAGUUGACCGGUACUAAUAGGCCGAGGGCUUGUCCUCAGUUG
rnacentral:rRNA from 1 species